UUUUAUAAUAAUUAAUUUUUUAAAUAUUUAAUUAUUAGUACCUGCAAACUAAUUAUUAUCGUGUAUUUCUAAUAUGUAAUGUUAAUUUCUUAAAAUAUGUUGAUGAUAAGGAAAUUAAUAAAAUUUCAAAAUAAUUUCAUAUGCAAUGUUGAUAUUCUCAAAAAGGAAUUUUCUAACGUUCUUCUGGAUGUGUGUGCUUGGAUCUGCGAGCUUGUUCGCUUGCUAAUUGGAUAAAAGGAGCAAUACAUUCUGAGAAUGAGAGCCUAGCCUAGUUAAGAGAGCCAAAAAUGGAAAAGCAAGACUUGCGAGCUGGGCGUCGUUUGCUGAGAAGGGGGUUGCUGCUUGUCUUCAAGUAAGCUGUAUUCUUGUUCGUUUAUGUUGAUAAUGUAGCAGGCAAGCAAUGGCAAGGGUAAAGGCUGAUAGAAAUUGAGCGUCGAGUUCAAAAUUUAAAUACAAAUCUUACUCUUAAAUUACUUGUUUGUUGCAGAACGUUAUUCUUUCCAGUGAUGGCCACUUCGUCUCUUCUUUGGUUAAUUUGGUUUAUACUCUUCGAAUCGUCAAAUAAAAUUUCUUUGAUGGCCACUUCGUCUCUUCUUUGGUUAAUUUAGUUUAUACUCUUCGAAUCGUCGUAUAAAAUUUCCUUGACGUCUUUCGGUGACGAGCUUGAGAAAUUUUGAAUCUAAAUGCAAACGAU
rnacentral:lncRNA from 1 species